UACAGAGGUCCCAAGCGUUGUUCGGAUUCAUUGGGCGUAAAGGGUGUGUAGGUGGCGCCGUAAGUCGGGUGUGAAAUUUCGGAGCUUAACUCCGAACCUGCAUUCGAUACUGCGGUGCUUGAGGACUGGAGAGGAGACUGGAAUUCAUGGUGUAGCAGUGAAAUGCGUAGAGAUCAUGAGGAAGACCAGUGGCGAAGGCGGGUCUCUGGACAGUUCCUGACACUGAGACACGAAGGCCAGGGAGCAAACGGG
rnacentral:rRNA from 1 species